CGGCGCGGCGUCCGGCGACAUAGGGAGCAGCGGGCGUGGCGAGGGAGGAACGGCGGCGUGUAAAUGGGAAAGCAACAUCAGCACGCCGGUGUCGGUGUGGUGGUCGAAGCCAAGUCGGCAGAGAGAGCUUUGCGGAAGAACAAACCUAAAAGAACAGAGGUUGAAGACGAGUUCGAGGGGAACAGGCUUCUGCGUGCGUUGGGAGGGUGAUCACAAGCUUUUUCCUUUAAAUAAUUGCUAUUAAAAUGGAUAAGGGCUUGAUGGAUGAUGAUAGGCACACUGAAACAUUCAUUAAUGUGGUUAAAAGAUUUAUUCAGUUUGCUUUUACCCAUUGAGAGAAGUUCGUUACCAGUGUUUACUUUAUAUGUAGCUGGAGGUGCAGAAAUCCAUGGCAAACCAAGCAUCACCUCUACAAGAAGAAUGACAGAGGAGUUGCUGCAAAAGAUCAAUGACCCCCUUUGAUGUGAUUCAGAGUGACUUGCUAGAUUCUUUUGUUCACUUCAAUGAAGAUCGCUAGUUUAGAAACAUAUAUAAGCUCUUGUGCACUAUUGCCGAUGACGUGCAUUCAUUUUAAAUUUAAAUUUGACCGAUCUUUGUAUAUCUUGGAUAUGAACCAUGUAUUGGAUAAUGAAUCAUGUCAAUGAUCACAUUGUGGAAUAAUUUCUAGAAUUAUGUGAAUGUUCA